rnacentral:rRNA from 1 species
GAUGAACGCUGACAGAAUGCUUAACACAUGCAAGUCAUUGGCGAAGCUGCGCUUGCGCAGUCUAGCCAAGGCGGACGGGUGAGUAACGCGUAAGGAACUUGCCCUGCAGACAGGGAUAACAGACGGAAACGACUGAUAACACCUGGUAUUGUCAGGCUGGCGCAUGCCGGCCUGAUGAAAGGAGACGCUGCAGGAGAGCCUUGCGUCCUAUUAGCUAGUUGGUGGGGUAACGGCCCACCAAGGCGAUGAUAGGUAGCCGGCCUGAGAGGGUGAACGGCCACAAGGGGACUGAGAUACGGCCCUUACUCCUACGGGAGGCAGCAGUGGGGAAUAUUGGACAAUGGGGGCAACUCUGAUCCAGCAAUUCUGUGUGCACGAAGAAGGUUUUCGGAUUGUAAAGUGCUUUCAGCAGGGAAGAAGAAAGUGACGGUACCUGCAGAAGAAGCGACGGCUAAAUACGUG